AUGCCAUGGAUACAACUGGAACAGCCCACUGCGAAUUCGGAAAAUCCCUCAGUCAGUUACUGCACCAAUUAACUAUACAAAUGAGGAACUAUCAGCGACAUAUUUGACACGCAAUGUGGAAUGGAAUCCAUUGACAGGAUCAUCAGCAACUGUUUGGUUUCUGAAAAAGGAACAACACCAAAACGACACACACCAACUAUAACAUAAUAUAGCUUGAAAUAUGGUAUUGCAACAUAACGGAAAGAUUUCGAUCUAUAUACUUAUACAAGUUAAAAGUUGCAUGUAGACAAAAUAAGAACUUACUAAAAUAAAUUUUACUUACGUUGGCA